UCAACACACAACCAACACUAUUCACCUUGUUAUGAUGAGGCGUUAAAAUCAAACAAUCUAUCUAUGUGGAAGUCCUUUCAUGUCCUUUCAGGUCGGCACAUGCUGGUCAGUAUAUGACCAUUGUGGCAUAGUCAUGGCCUUGCUCAAACUUGACUCAGUAGGAUGGAGGAGCACCAGCAUGGGACACGGUGGCAUAGCACCAAUCAUCUUCACCUUCCUGUUAUUGCAACAAAGGGAUGAGGACAAAUCACGAUUUGAAAGAAAACAUCAAAUCAUCAAAUCCUUUCAAUAAACCACCAUUCCAACUGUUUUUCAUUUAUAACAUGCUUAUGUGUUGUGUGCCAGCCAAAUGUACUGUUUAUGCACAGACAUCCAAAAAAGCACUAUGGUGGCAAAGUAGAGGAAGAGCGUGAGGCAGCUACAUAAAAACAUAAUUAUGUCAUGGUAUUGCCUUCUUUUCCUGUGGAGAUUCUACAGGAUUUGUUGUGUCACUUGCUGUGUUAACAGAAUCACAGAAAUGUGCUGUUAAAACGGGAGUGUGGUAAAUAUCUCUAUAAUAAUAGGCCUACACACGUACACUUCACUGUGGCAUCAUACAUACUUGUUACGGUAGGGUCUCCUGGCAAUGUCUGGUCACUGGGCGAUCUGAAAGACAUGGUUAGGUGAGACAGGCAUUCACAUUUAAACUGUAUGUUCUGUAUGCUGUCAUAAUCAUGCUGUUCAACACACAACCAACACUAUUCACCUUGUUAUGAUGAGGUGUCCGUUCCCUAUGACAGUAAAACAAUGGAAUACAUGAGUGAUUCUGUCUGAUCGGUUUUGCUAAUACGUUUAAAAGGCUGUUAGAUACUAGGUUCACAUACUCUUUGCUUUCAGUGAGAGGAGACAGGUGAUGCAGAAUAUGAAUACUGCAAGUAGAAUCAUGAAUCCUAUCAGGGCCAUACAUCCGAUGAUGUACUUAGUCAGCAUGUCUGUAACAGAGUAAAAUGUAUUUUUGACCAAAUGGAUGAAUCACCUAAAUCAGGAAUCUAUGCAUUAAAUUUCUCAUGUAAUCUUUCUUACUUGUGUUCCACACCACCACUGUGACAUUUUUGCUGGGAGGUGAGUCCUUUUCGUAAUGACACUGGAUGGUGACUUUUGACCACAGCCCUCUGGCUUCCACCCAAGCAGCUCUGACCCCUUAACUGGGAGGGAGCAUUGGUUGUGGCUGGCAUUUGAGCGACCAAGCUCCUUGAGUUUAGAAUCCACAUAGAACAAUCACUGCUGACCCUCUACAAGGGCAGAGGACUCGCAGCUCAGCUCAACCACUUCAGUCAGGGUCACAAACUUCAGGCUUACUGAGAUCUGGUGCUUCUUCUCCUGGGUAAUCCAAGUGUUUGUCUGAUUCUCCUUGUCCCCUUGAAGGAUGAGGAAAGAGAGAGAUAGUUGAGGAAAGAGAGAGAUAGUUGAGGAAAGAGAGAGAUAGUUGAGGAAAGAGAGAGACAUAAGGCACCAGCAGCACAUUCAUUGGAUCAUGGUUAGGAGUUCUUUGAAGGUCCCAAACCUGCCACCUGUUAUUAUGCAUAAUGCAGAGAGAGAAGUGAAACAGGAUAUAUGGAAAUGAGAU
rnacentral:lncRNA from 1 species